GCCAGCAAGGUAUAGUGGUUUGAGCGUUGGACUAUGACUCUGGAGACCAGGGUUCAAAUCCCUACUCAGCCA